AGCCUGCAAUCUGAGCUGAGGAUAGGUUUUGGGAGUUAGCUGACCCUCGUGGGAUCGGCCCACCAAUUUUGAAUUGUCGAUGAUAGAGUAGAAGCCCCAAAAGGAGAAUUAUGAAUUUAUUUGAUAGGGGAUUGUAACAUUUCACCCGGAGAUGGAAAAUUCGCUAUUAUUCGUUCAUGAAUCAUGAGAGCAAACCUGUGAUGAGGAGAUGAGCUACUGGGAAAAUUUUUUGCAUGCUCAGAAUGUCCAUUAAGAUGCAGCAUCAAAAGCUGGAUUCUCCAUUACGAGAUAUGUGGGCCUUAAAUUCACGUUUGCAUUAAGUUUUUUGACCGAAUGAUGGAUUCCAUGUAAACUGCCUUUUACAUAAAGAAGCAAUGAUUCUCAAGUUCAACAUUCAAAGAAACACUUCUAUUAGCAGAAAAGGUGAUGCGCAUUGUUUCAUUUUUCCAAAAAUUCAGAUAAAUACAAAAAUAGAGAUGUGAAUGCACACAGUUCAGGGGUGCCCAAAAAUUCAUUUUUUUAUGUAAGUGGAGGAAGGAAGACCUUUCCCCAGAUGUUAUUAAGAGAUGGAAAAGAAUAUCAGGUACAAGUACAGAGGAUGAAUAGAGGAUGAUGUAGAAGACAGAUGAUCUUAAUGACUGAGUAGAGUGUCAAUCUUCCUCUCUAAGAUUUUGUCCUAUUUUUCCCUUCUCGGUUGAUUGGGGAUUUCUUCUUCAGGAACACCCUACAGUUUCUUUCCAACCAAAUUUGCCAACAAAAUACAAGCACCAUUUGAUCCUAUACUCUAUGAAAAUAAUGGAUCCUCUCGCAUCUCCAGGUUGUUUACAAUGUCUGUAAGGAAGUUGGCUAACCUCUCCAGGCAAUGCACUUUUUGACAGCUAACCAAACACCUUUGGAAUAGGAGCAAUGAAUAAGAAGAAUUCAUACUCAAGUUGUUUGAAGAGCCAACUGACUAAGUGAUGGAUUGGGAUGUAGUUUCCUUGCCAUAACGCCUAUUUCUGGUAAUGGUGCGUGUGUUGUUUAAGCACAUAAGCACAUGCUCUGCAUUUUGUUAUACAACUUCAUUCUAUGCAAUAUGCAUUGAUUUAGUUGCAUCCUUACAGCGAGUUAGAAAUUUCUCGAUCUCAUGACACUUCAAAUUUCUCAGGUCACCCAUAGCUGAGAGACUUUGGAGAACGUUGCACCAAGUUACUUCGUUGCUUCUGGUAGGUUGUUGCAAAGGAGCUCCUUUCAGAGACGCCAUGUACUUCAGUCUGUGGAGACUUUUCUUCAACACUAAACAGGAACGCGACGAGCCUUCGAUUGCUUAGAAUGGCGUCAGCUGAGGCAUACAGGCAAGCCCCAUUUAAAGGCCUAGGAUACAGCCUGCAUGGUUUCAAACCAGAACGAGCUUUCGAGAGUUUUAAACUACCUCCUAUGGGACGGGUGGCAUGCUCUGUUGACAUGGAAGGGAAGCCAUCUUAUGCACCAGUAACUGAUAAUGAUCUUCUGUCUUCUGAUAUGCUGUUGGGAUGGAUUAAUUAUGCCAUAAGCUUUUUAUUGAUGAAAAAUACAAUCGCUGCAAAAGACAAAGUGAGAAGAGUCAAAUUCUGAUUUGUUGUCAUUAUGGUCACAGAACAUGAUAUAAGAAAUUAUUGGAGUUUAUCAA